AUUGAACGCUGGCGGCAGGCCUAACACAUGCAAGUCGAACGGUGUCUUCGGACAUAGUGGCGCACGGGUGCGUAACACGUAUGCAACCUACCUUACAUUGGGGGAUAGCCUUUCGAAAGGGAGAUUAAUACCGCAUAAGACAGUAGCUGGGCAUCCAGCAGCUGUUAAAGAUUUAUCGAUGUAAGCUGGGCAUGCGUCCAAUUAGCUAGUUGGUGAGGUAACGGCUCACCAAGGCAAUGAUUGGUAGGGGAACUGAGAGGUCAAUCCCCCACACUGGCACUGGGAUACGGGCCAGACGCCUACGGGAGGCAGCAGUAGGGAAUAUUGGGCAAUGGACGCAAGUCUGACCCAGCCAUGCCGCGUGCAGGAUGAAGGCGUUAUGCGUUGUAAACUGCUUUUAUACAGGAAGAAACGACUCUUGCGAGAGGCAUUGACGGUACUGUAUGAAUAAGCACCGGCUAACUCCGUGCCAGCAGCCGCCGUAAAAC
rnacentral:rRNA from 1 species